UUGCUCUGGUGGCGAGUGGCGAACGGGUGAGUAAUAUAUCGGAACGUACCCUAGAGUGGGGGAUAACGUAGCGAAAGUUACGCUAAUACCGCAUACGAUCUAAGGAUGAAAGUGGGGGAUCGCAAGACCUCAUGCUCGUGGAGCGGCCGAUAUCUGAUUAGCUAGUUGGUAGGGUAAAAGCCUACCAAGGCAUCGAUCAGUAGCUGGUCUGAGAGGACGACCAGCCACACUGGAACUGAGACACGGUCCAGACUCCUACGGGAGGCAGCAGUGGGGAAUUUUGGACAAUGGGCGAAAGCCUGAUCCAGCAAUGCCGCGUGAGUGAAGAAGGCCUUCGGGUUGUAAAGCUCUUUUGUCAGGGAAGAAACGGUGAGAGCUAAUAUCUUUUGCUAAUGACGGUACCUGAAGAAUAAGCACCGGCUAACUACGUGCCAGCAGCCGCGGUAAUACGUAGGGUGCAAGCGUUAAUCGGAAUUACUGGGCGUAAAGCGUGCGCAGGCGGUUUUGUAAGUCUGAUGUGAAAUCCCCGGGCUCAACCUGGGAAUUGCAUUGGAGACUGCAAGGCUAGAAUCUGGCA
rnacentral:rRNA from 1 species